UACGGGGGGGGGCAAGCGUUGUUCGGAAUUACUGGGCGUAAAGGGCUCGUAGGCGGCCAACUAAGUCAGACGUGAAAUCCCUCGGCUUAACCGGGGAACUGCGUCUGAUACUGGUUGGCUUGAAUCCGGGAGAGGGAUGUGGAAUUCCAGGUGUAGCGGUGAAAUGCGUAGAUAUCUGGAGGAACACCGGUGGCGAAGGCGGCAUCCUGGACCGGCAUUGACGCUGAGGCGCGAAAGCCAGGGGAGCAAAGCGGG
rnacentral:rRNA from 1 species